ensembl:piRNA 21ur-1760 ncRNA
UUAAGAAAAUACUCCUUCAUC